UCAAGGGUUUUUCAGAAGUAUUUUCCAUA
rnacentral:sRNA from 1 species